UACAGAGGUCCCGAGCGUUGUUCGGAUUCAUUGGGCGUAAAGGGUGCGUAGGCGGUUUGGCAAGUCUGAUGUGAAAUCCCGGGGCUCAACCCCGGAACUGCAUUGGAUACUGCCUUGCUAGAGUACUGGAGAGGGAACUGGAAUUUACGGUGUAGCAGUGAAAUGCGUAGAGAUCGGAAGGAAGGCCAGUGGCGAAGGCGAGUUCCUGGACAGUUACUGACGCUGAGGCACGAAGGCCAGGGGAGCAAACAGG
rnacentral:rRNA from 1 species